UAAGUGAAGAGUUUGAUCCUGGCUCAGAUUGAACGCUGGCGGCAUGCCUAACACAUGCAAGUCGAACGGCAGCACAGCAGAGCUUGCUCUGUGGGUGGCGAGUGGCGGACGGGUGAGUAAUGCAUCGGGAUCUACCCAAACGUGGGGGAUAACGUAGGGAAACUUACGCUAAUACCGCAUACGUCUUACGAGAGAAAGCAGGGGACCUUCGGGCCUUGCGCGGUUGGACGAACCGAUGUGCGAUUAGCUAGUUGGUGAGGUAAUGGCUCACCAAGGCGACGAUCGCUAGCUGGUCUGAGAGGAUGAUCAGCCACACUGGAACUGAGACACGGUCCAGACUCCUACGGGAGGCAGCAGUGGGGAAUAUUGGACAAUGGGCGCAAGCCUGAUCCAGCAAUGCCGCGUGUGUGAAGAAGGCCUUCGGGUUGUAAAGCACUUUUAUCAGGAGCGAAAUACUACCGGCUAAUAUCCGGUGGGGCUGACGGUACCUGAGGAAUAAGCACCGGCUAACUUCGUGCCAGCAGCCGCGGUAAUACGAAGGGUGCAAGCGUUAAUCGGAAUUACUGGGCGUAAAGCGUGCGUAGGCGGUGAUUUAAGUCUGCUGUGAAAUCCCCGGGCUCAACCUGGGAAUGGCAGUGGAUACUGGAUCGCUAGAGUGUGAUAGAGGAUGGUGGAAUUCCCGGUGUAGCGGUGAAAUGCGUAGAGAUCGGGAGGAACAUCAGUGGCGAAGGCGGCCAUCUGGAUCAACACUGACGCUGAGGCACGAAAGCGUGGGGAGC
rnacentral:rRNA from 1 species